AAAUGAAUAGACGGGGGCCCGCACAAGCAGCGGAGCGUGUGGUUUAAUUCGAUGCUACACGAAGAACCUUACCAGGGUUUGACAUGCUAGUGGUAGUGAAGCGAAAGCGGAACGACCCUUCGGGGAGCUAGCACAGGUGCUGCAUGGCUGUCGUCAGCUCGUGUCGUGAGAUGUUCGGUUAAGUCCGCUAACGAGCGCAACCCUCGCUGAAUGUUACAUGUGUCAUUCGGGACUGCCGGUCUCAAACCGGAGGAAGGUGGGGAUGACGUCAAGUCAGCAUGGCCUUUAUAUCCUGGGCUACACACACGCUACAAUGGCUAAUACAAUAGGUCGCGAAACCGCGAGGUGGAGCCAAUCCUCAAAAUUAGCCUCAGUUCAGAUCGUAGGCUGCAACUCGCCUGCGUGAAGAUGGAGUUGCUAGUAACCGCAGGUCAGCUAUACUGCGGUGAAUACGUUCCCGGGCCUUGUACACACCGCCCGU
rnacentral:rRNA from 1 species